rnacentral:rRNA from 1 species
GAUGAACGCUGGCGGCGUGCCUAAUACAUGCAAGUCGAGCGAACGGACGAGAAGCUUGCUUCUCUGAUGUUAGCGGCGGACGGGUGAGUAACACGUGGAUAACCUACCUAUAAGACUGGGAUAACUUCGGGAAACCGGAGCUAAUACCGGAUAAUAUUUUGAACCGCAUGGUUCAAAAGUGAAAGACGGUCUUGCUGUCACUUAUAGAUGGAUCCGCGCUGCAUUAGCUAGUUGGUAAGGUAACGGCUUACCAAGGCAACGAUGCAUAGCCGACCUGAGAGGGUGAUCGCCCACACUGGAACUGAGACACGGUCCAGACUCCUACGGGAGGCAGCAGUAGGGAAUCUUCCGCAAAGGUCGAAAGCCUGACGGAGCAACGCCGCGUGAGUGAUGAAGGUCUUCGGAUCGUAAAACUCUGUUAUUAGGGAAGAACAUAUGUGUAAGUAACUGUGCACAUCUUGACGGUACCUAAUCAGAAAGCCACGGCUAACUACGUG